AACGCGAAGAACCUUACCUACCCUUGACAUCCUGCGAAUCUGACUGAGAGGUUGGAGUGCCGAAAGGAACGCAGAGACAGGUGCUGCAUGGCUGUCGUCAGCUCGUGUUGUGAGAUGUUGGGUUAAGUCCCGUAACGAGCGCAACCCUUGUCCUUAGUUGCCAUCAUUUAGUUGGGGACUCUAAGGAGACUGCCGGUGAUGAACCGGAGGAAGGCGGGGACGACGUCAAGUCAUCAUGGCCUUUAUGGGUAGGGCUACACACGUGCUACAAUGGGGCGUACAGAGGGUAGCCAACUCGCGAGAGGGAGCCAAUCUCAAAAAGCGCCUCGUAGUCCGGAUUGGAGUCUGCAACUCGACUCCAUGAAGUUGGAAUCGCUAGUAAUCGCGAAUCAGCAACGUCGCGGUGAAUACGUUCCCGGGCCUUGUACACACCGAGUAUA
rnacentral:rRNA from 1 species